rnacentral:rRNA from 1 species
GAAUUCGCCCUUAGAGUUUGAUCCUGGCUCAGGACGAACGCUGGCGGCGCGCCUAACACAUGCAAGUCGAACGAGCGAGAGAGAGCUUGCUUUCUCGAGCGAGUGGCGAACGGGUGAGUAACGCGUGAGGAACCUGCCUCAAAGAGGGGGACAACAGUUGGAAACGACUGCUAAUACCGCAUAAGCCCACAGGUCGGCAUCGACCAGAGGGAAAAGGAGCAAUCCGCUUUGAGAUGGCCUCGCGUCCGAUUAGCUAGUUGGUGAGGUAAUGGCCCACCAAGGCAACGAUCGGUAGCCGGACUGAGAGGUUGAACGGCCACAUUGGGACUGAGACACGGCCCAGACUCCUACGGGAGGCAGCAGUGGGGAAUAUUGCACAAUGGGGGAAACCCUGAUGCAGCGACGCCGCGUGGAGGAAGAAGGUCUUCGGAUUGUAAACUCCUGUUGUUGAGGAAGAUAAUGACGGUACUCAACAAGGAAGUGACGGCUAACUACGUGCCAGCAGCCGCGGUAAAACGUAGGUCACAAGCGUUGUCCGGAAUUACUGGGUGUAAAGGGAGCGCAGGCGGGAAGACAAGUUGGAAGUGAAAUCUAUGGGCUCAACCCAUAAACUGCUUUCAAAACUGUUUUUCUUGAGUAGUGCAGAGGUAGGCGGAAUUCCCGGUGUAGCGGUGGAAUGCGUAGAUAUCGGGAGGAACACCAGUGGCGAAGGCGGCCUACUGGGCACCAACUGACGCUGAGGCUCGAAAGUGUGGGUAGCAAACAGGAUUAGAUACCCUGGUAGUCCACACCGUAAACGAUGAAUACUAGGUGUUGGAGGAU